rnacentral:rRNA from 1 species
CCUACGGGCGGCAGCAGUGAGGAAUAUUGGUCAAUGGACGAGAGUCUGAACCAGCCAAGUAGCGUGAAGGAUGACUGCCCUAUGGGUUGUAAACUUCUUUUAUAUGGGAAUAAAAUGUUCCACGUGUGGGAUUUUGUAUGUACCAUAUGAAUAAGGAUCGUCUAACUCCGUGCCAGCAGCCGCGGUAAUACGGAGGAUCCGAGCGUUAUCCGAAUUUAUUGGGUUUAAAGGGAGCGUAGGUGGAUUGUUAAGUCAGUUGUGAAAGUUUGCGGCUCAACCGUAAAAUUGCAGUUGAAACUGGCAGUCUUGAGUACAGUAGAGGUGGGCGGAAUUCGUGGUGUAGCGGUGAAAUGCUUAGAUAUCACGAAGAACUCCGAUUGCGAAGGCAGUUCACUGGACUGCAACUGACACUGAGGCUCGAAAGUGUGGGUAUCAAACAGGAUUAGAUACCCUGGUAGUC